rnacentral:rRNA from 1 species
UACGUAGGGGGCAAGCGUUGUCCGGAAUCAUUGGGCGUAAAGAGCUUGUAGGCGGUUUGUCGCGUCUGCUGUGAAAUUUCGGGGCUCAACCCCGAACUUGCAGUGGGUACGGGCAGACUAGAGUGUGGUAGGGGAGACUGGAAUUCCUGGUGUAGCGGUGAAAUGCGCAGAUAUCAGGAGGAACACCAGUGGCGAAGGCGCCACUCUGGGCCGUAACUGACGCUGAGGAGCGAAAGCGUGGGUAGCAAACAGG